rnacentral:rRNA from 1 species
CCGACGGUGAGGGACGAAGCCCUGGGGCGCAAACGGGAUUAGAUACCCCGGUAGUCCAGGGUGUAAACGCUGCGGGCUUGGUGUUGGGGGUCCUUUGAGGGCGCCCAGUGCCGGAGAGAAGUUGUUAAGCCUGCUGCUUGGGGAGUACGUCCGCAAGGAUGAAACUUAAAGGAAUUGGCGGGGGAGCACCGCAACGGGAGGAGCGUGCGGUUCAAUUGGAUUCAACGCCGGACAACUCACCAGGAGCGACGGUUACAUGAAGGCCAGGCUGAUGACCUUGCCUGAUUUUCCGAGAGGUGGUGCAUGGCCGUCGUCAGUUCGUACCGUAAGGCGUUCUCUUAAGUG